UCAAAAUAUCACGAGAAGGGUUUGCAUCCUCUCCAACCUGCCAACUCCGGCAAGGUGGAAAAAUGAUAUGGCGUUCAGCAAACAUAGGAGAAUAG
rnacentral:ncRNA from 10 species